AAUUCCCUGGCUGUCCAGUGGUUGGGACUCCCCGCUCUCACUGCCCAGAGCCUGGGUUCAGUCUUUGGUCAGGGAACUAAGAUUUUGCAUGCUGUCU